GAUGAACGCUAUCUACAUGCUUAACACAUGCAAGUCGAGGGACCGGCGCACGGGUGAGUAACACGUAUCCAACCUGCCCUUUACUCGGAGAUAGCCUUUCGAAAGAAAGAUUAAUCCCCGCUCUAAAGGAUGGGUAUGCGUUCCAUUAGGUUGUUGGUGUGUUAACGGCUCAACAAGCCUUCGAUGGAUAGGGGUUCUGAGAGGAAGGUCCCCGUAAUUGGAACUGAGACACGGUCCAAACUCCUACGGGAGGCAGCAGUGAGGAAUAUUGGUCAAUGGGCGCUAGCCUGAACCAGCCAAGUAGCGUGAAGGAUGAAGGCUUAUGGGUCGUAAACUUCUUUUAUAGAAGAAUAUGUAUUAUAUGAAUAAGGAUCGGCGAACUCCGUGCCAGCAGCCGCGGUAAUAC
rnacentral:rRNA from 1 species